CGUCAACCAAGUACCAGUCGAUACAGGGGGGUGGUGUUCGAGAGCUGCACUGUCACAGAGGGGUGUCGUUCCGGAGCGUCAGUUCCUUGUCGGUCUUUUAGAGUCCUUUGUUCGUAUUCAUAUUUAGAGUCUUUUGUAUUUCAUUUUAUAUUGGCAAUUUU